UGUUUUUAAAUUUGUACCAUGUGAGGCGUUCGUCCAAUCAGGUGCAGCCAUCGCGGUUGUAGGAGGGUGUAGCCUGUUUUGUCCGUGGUCAAUGAA